AACGUACGCUGGCGGCACGCCUAACACAUGCAAGUCGAACGAAGUAGCAAUACUUAGUGGCAGACGGGUGAGUAACAUGUAGGUAUCUGCCCUUUGGCCUGGAAUAACACGAGGAAACUUGUGCUAAUACCGGAUAAGUCUUUACGGAGAAAGCUUUAUGCACCAUUGGAUGAGCCUGCACUUGAUUAGUUUGUUGGUGGGGUAAUGGCCUACCAAGACUGUGAUCAAUAGCUGAUUUGAGAGGAUGAUCAGCCACAUUGGGACUGAGACACGGCCCAAACUCCUACGGGAGGCAGCAGUGGGGAAUCUUGCACAAUGGAGGAAACUCUGAUGCAGCGAUGCCGCGUGAGUGAAGAAGGCCGUUGGGUUGUAAAGCUCUUUCGUCGGGGAAGAAGAUGACUGUACCCGAAUAAGAAGGUCCGGCUAACUUCGUGCCAGCAGCCGCGGUAAUACGAAGGGACCUAGCGUAGUUCGGAAUUACUGGGCUUAAAGAGUUCGUAGGUGGUUGAAAAAGUUAGUGGUGAAAUCCCAGAGCUUAACUCUGGAACUGCCAUUAAAACUUUUCAGCUAGAGUAUGAUAGAGGAAAGCAGAAUUUCUAGUGUAGAGGUGAAAUUCGUAGAUAUUAGAAAGAAUACCAAUUGCGAAGGCAGCUCUCUGGAUCAUUACUGACACUGAGGAACGAAAGCAUGGGUAGCGAAGAGGAUUAGAUACCCUCGUAGUCCAUGCCGUAAACGAUGUGUGUUAGACGUUGGAAAUUUAUUUUCAGUGUCGCAGGGAAACCGAUAAACACACCGCCUGGGGAGUACGACCGCAAGGUUAAAACUCAAAUGAAUUGACGGGGACCCGCACAAGUAGUGGAGCAUGUGGUUUAAUUCGAAGAUACGCGCAGAACCUUACCAACACUUGACAUGUUCGUCGCGACUCUAAGAGAUUAGAGUUUUCGGUUCGGCCGGACGAAACACAGGUGCUGCAUGGCUGUCGUCAGCUCGUGUCGUGAGAUGUUGGGUUAAGUCCCGCAACGAGCGCAACCCUCACUUUUAGUUGCCAUCAUUAAGUUGGGCACUCUGAAAGAACUGCCAGUGAUAAGCUGGAGGAAGGUGGGGAUGACGUCAAGUCCUCAUGGCCCUUACGUGUUGGGCUACACACGUGCUACAAUGGUAUCUACAACAGGAAGCAAGACUGCGAAGUUAAGCAAAUCCCUAAAAGAUACCUCAGUUCGGAUUGCACUCUGCAACUCGAGUGCAUGAAGCUGGAAUUACUAGUAAUCGUGGAUCAGCGUGCCACGGUGAAUGCGUUCCCGGGUCU
rnacentral:rRNA from 1 species